AGCCCGACGCCCAAUCAGGCCCUCGGCUCAGCUUCUGCUUUGUAUAUGUACAAAUAGCAAAAGGCAGAGCAAGCAGCGCCCUGAACAAACCAGAAAAACAGCCCUCUUCCGCUGUGUUCCGGAGCUCACAGCAGACCAAGGCUGCGGCACCUGGCGGGAGCUAGGGGCGCUUCCCGGGCGUCAAAGCCCGCCUCCAACCCCCCACGCCCCACCAGGCCCCGCCCACCGCCCGAGGGCUCCCCGCCCCGCCCCGCCCACCGGGGGCGUAGGGCAAGCCACGCUCGAGGCCACUUUGCACCCUCGGGUGUACGCGUCCUGCUUUCUGGCGGGCUGUUUAAUCCUCCUCUCCCCGUUCAUGGAGGGGGCCGGGCCCCCAUCGCCAGGAGAUGACCUGGAGCUCUCGGUGAUCCAGGGGCAGCCAGACGAGCAGACGCCUCUCAGUGGAGCCGUCCAGGGCAUCUUUCCUCUGGAGGAGGAGCCCUGCCCAGUUCAGGCUGACAAGGAAAGCCCUUGGAACUCCUGUAAUAAGAACUUGGUUGGAAAGUGCAAACUGUGGAUGGUCCUCGCCUCUGUUUUCCUAGGUCUCGUUAUAGUCAUCAUCAUAAGCUUAUGUUUGAUUGGAGUAACCUAUGUCGAUGAGGAUGAAAAUGAAAUACUUGAAUUGUCGUCUAAUAAAACAUUCUUGGUCACGCUAAAGAUUCCAGAGGAGUGUGUUACUGAAGAGAAAUUGCCUGACCUGCUCACGAAAAGGCUCACAGAUGUGUACAGUUCAUCACCAGCUCUGAGCCGUUACUUUACUUCAGUUGAAAUCGUAGACUGCAGUGGUGAAAACGCCACAAUAACCUACCACCUGCACUUUGGGUUUCCGUCAGAAGACCACAACUUUAUGAAGUAUGUGAUGAGUGAAGAGCUGGUGCUGGGCGUUUUGCAGCAGGAUUUCCAUGAUCAGAACGUGUCCGGUUGUGAGACUCUGGGGCUUGACCCAGUGUCCCUCUGGUUCUCUGAAUGAAACAGUCGAGGUCGAUCUGUGUCUGAAAGCAGCACUCCACUGAACUCUGGGAUGAGGAGAAUUCAUUCCGUUUUACAGAAGAGAUCCUGUGAAUUAACGUAGAAGGACGCACAGUGACUACAGGGCUGGAGACGGCCCUUUUUCUCCUGAUUCUGCAGAGUCUGGCACUACGUCCAGCAAAACAGCACCCAGGGCUGCCCCAGCUGGGUCCACGUGGGGCGGGGUGACCAGGCGGCGGGUGGACCUGCAGGGCCAGGUCGCUGCUGUUCUUGAAGCACUCUCUGCCUCCACCCACACGUGAACACGCUCUCUUCAGGGUAAGGGUGGCCUUUGAGGCAGGAUCCCGCCAGCCUGAGCCCCUGGCGAGAGAACGGGGAGAGGCGAGGUGAGGGAGAGCUGAGCCAAUCGCUCCCUGAAAUCCUCCGUCCCACCCCGAUGUCUGAUCUACCUCCAAGCAAGGCUGUGAGGAAAAGGCAGGCAUCUCACCAGAUGUAAGCAGCAUCGUCUGUGUCUCCUUCCAUAGCCGCAUAUCUCAGCAAACUAGCCUUGGCACUCCAUGCAAUGUUAUGUAGAGCUACAGAAAUGAGGCUCCUGUGGAAUCUUGGGGACUCAACUCUCCUGUUCUACCUAUGCCUUUCCAUUCCUGAGCAUAUUUGAAGCAUCUGUCACCCAAGGUUGUCUUAAAAACGUGAGCAUUUGAAUUUAUUUGUUGUCAACGGUAGGAUUUCCUGACCUCUCUUUGUCUUUUUCUUGUACCUCUCUUCUGUUCUGUGUAAGAAUUUAUUCACAGACUAAGAUUAUUUAUAGCUACUAGUAUGAACUUAAAGCGGAAACCACAAAGCCUGCACAUACUGCAUAAAAUAUGCCUCUGUGAACUUAGGCUGUGUAUAGUUUUACGAUCAACAUCAGGGAGGGGAAUUUUCUGAUUAUAUAUGUGACUUAAGGGACCAAUUUAAAUCCUCAGUCUCUUAUCAAGAACAGAAAUUCUUUAACUUAGGGGUUGCAUCCCCAACCCCUUGAAAUUGUAUACAGAUAUUUGUGUGUGUGUGUGUGUGUGUGUGUGUGUGAAUGUACAUUUUCUGUAAAGAGGGUACCCUGCUUUCAUCAGAAAUCCUGAAAUCUAUGGAAAAUAGAUCAGCAUUAUAUACAGCCCUAGUAGGUAUUUCAAAGCACUCCCAAAGGGUUCUCCCGCUCAAAAAUAAUUCCCUUUCAGAAUCCCUCUACAUUUCAUUAUAAGAACAAUUUUCUUUGUUUAAGCAUUUAUACUUAACGUGUUCCCUAGAAAACAUAUUUGGGACAAGUAAUUCUUUCAUGGGGUAAGACUCAAACAACUACAACUUAUCAUGUUGUACUAAGAAUAUUUAAACCAAUCAACUUCCACAGGGGUCCAACGUCCAAGUGAAAAAUCCCAGUGUAAACCCCAGCAAUUUUGUGUUUCUGCCUCUCUGGAAGACUGCCAGGUGGCCCUGCAUCACCAGGCCCAUCAGCACAUGUUUUUCUAUAGACAUCAUAAAGAGUUUUGUAUCCCUUUACUCUUUGAUAUCAUUUGUUCACAAUCUGUGACAGAUGAUGUACGUACAUUGAAUAUAAUCCUCCUGCUUAUGGGUGAUGGAACUGAGCCUCCAAUCUACAUGCUCAAGUUCUCAGAGGGAGGAAGAACAGGAAUCAGGAUUCGAAUCAUUGAUUAUCUGACUCCAGUAUCCACAUUCUUUGCCCUAAGCCAUGUUACGUCUUGUACUGUAUUCCCUGCUAUCAUGCAUGUCUCCUUUUGAACUUGAGUGAAUCCUGGCCAAAGGUCAAAGUUAGGAUUCCAUGUGGAAGGAUUUUGCUAAAAAUAGGAAGUUAGUGGAGUAUAAGAUAUUAAGAUGUGAUUGGCUCUUAGAUCAAGACCAUCAACUGGCUGAAGUCUCAGCAAACCUGUGUUGACACAUCCAACCUUAAGCCGCUGGAUUUAUCCCUGCUGGGCCCCUAGCACACUGUAAAUAGCAAAAUUAUUUAACUUUGGUUCGGUUGGGGAACAAAACAGUAAUUAAACUCAUAAUGCAUCUACUGCUUAUCUCAACAAACUUUUUACUAUUUUAACACCCCUAAAAAUUAGGACAAUAGCUAUGGGUUAAAUAAAACAGGAAGUUGAGAACGCAGGUGUGCAUAUAGAAAUAGUCUAAUUUGCUAAUUACUCUUGCUCUCACCCUAAUUUUUGGUUUAAUAUUUCCAUACCAUUUUAUUGGUACUAGCUCUUACAGGUUACACCAAUAGCCAAACACACUUUUGUUUAGUUUAUCUAUAGUUAUGAUUAUUUAAGGAAGGGGUCUGCAAACUUAUUUUCUGAAAAGGGCCCCCAAAUAAAUAUUUUUGGUUUUGCAGG